rnacentral:rRNA from 1 species
GACGAACGCUGGCGGCGUGCCUAAUACAUGCAAGUAGAACGCUUAAGGACUACCUUGCUUCUCUGGAUGAGUUGCGAACGGGUGAGUAACGCGUAGGUAACCUGCCUGGUAGCGUGGGAUAACUAUUGGAAACGAUAGCUAAUACCGCAUAAGAGUACAUGUUGCAUUAUAUUUGCUUAAAAGUUGCAAUGGCAGCACUACCAGAUGGACCUUCGUUGUAUUAGCUUGUUGGUGGGGUAACGGCUUACCGAGGCGGAGAUACAUAGCCGACAUGAGAGGGUGGUUGGCCAAACUGGGACUGAGACCCGGCCCAGAGUCCUACGGGAAGCAGCCGUAGGGAAUCUUCGGCCAUGGGAGGAAGUCUGACCGAGCCAAGCCGCGUGAGUGAAGAAGGUUUUCGGAUCGUAAAGCUCUGUUGUAAGAGUAGAACGAGUGUGAGAGUGGAAAGUUCACACUGUGACGGUAUCUUACCAGAAAGCGACGGCUAACUACGUG